CCAUCCUCCAAGGCUAAAUACUCCUGACUGACCGAUAGUGAACCAGUACCGUGAGGGAAAGGCGAAAAGAACCCCGGCGAGGGGAGUGAAAAAGAACCUGAAACCGUGUACGUACAAGCAGUGGGAGCCUCUUUUAUGGGGUGACUGCGUACCUUUUGUAUAAUGGGUCAGCGACUUAUAUUCUGUAGCAAGGUUAACCGAAUAGGGGAGCCGAAGGGAAACCGAGUCUUAACUGGGCGUUAAGUUGCAGGGUAUAGACCCGAAACCCGGUGAUCUAGCCAUGGGCAGGUUGAAGGUUGGGUAACACUAACUGGAGGACCGAACCGACUAAUGUUGAAAAAUUAGCGGAUGACUUGUGGCUGGGGGUGAAAGGCCAAUCAAACCGGGAGAUAGCUGGUUCUCCCCGAAAGCU
rnacentral:rRNA from 1 species